GAUGAACGCUGGCGGCGUGCCUAAUACAUGCAAGUCGAGCGAACGGACGAGAAGCUUGCUUUUCUUAUGUUAGCGGCGGACGGGUGAGUAACACGUGGAUAACCUACCUAUAAGACUGGGAUAACUUCGGGAAACCGGAGCUAAUACCGGAUAAUAUUUUGAACCGCAUGGUUCAAAAGUGAAAGACUGUCUUGCUGUCACUUAUAGAUGGAUCCGCGCUGCAUUAGCUAGUUGGUAAGGUAACGGCUUACCAAGGCAACGAUGCAUAGCCGACCUGAGAGGGUGAUCGGCCAAACUGGAACUGAGACACGGUCCAGAAUCCUACGGGAGGCAGCAGUAGGGAAUCUUCCGAAAUGGGCGAAAGCCUGAAGGAGCAACGCCGCGUGAGUGAUGAAGGUCUUCGGAUCGUAAAACUCUGUUAUUAGGGAAGAACAUAUGUGUAAGUAACUGUGCACAUCUUGACGGUACCUAAUCAGAAAGCCACGGCUAACUACGUG
rnacentral:rRNA from 1 species